GAACCUUACCUGGGCUCGAAGCGCAGUGGACCGGGGUGGAAACAUCCCUUUCCGCAAGGACCGCUGCGGAGGUGCUGCAUGGCUGUCGUCAGCUCGUGUCGUGAGAUGUUGGGUUAAGUCCCGCAACGAGCGCAACCCUUACCCUUAGUUGCUCGUCCGCAAGGAAAGCACCCUAAGGGAACUGCCUCGGAUAACGGGGAGGAAGGUGGGGAUGACGUCAAGUCCUCAUGGCCUUUAUGCCCAGGGCUACACACGUGCUACAAUGGCCGGUACAAACCGUUGCCAACCCGCAAGGGGGAGCCAAUCGGAAAAAACCGGUCUCAGUUCGGAUUGCAGGCUGCAACUCGCCUGCAUGAAGCUGGAAUCGCUAGUAAUCACGUAUCAGAACGACGUGGUGAAUACGUUCCCGGGCCUUGUCACACCGA
rnacentral:rRNA from 1 species